rnacentral:rRNA from 1 species
UACGGAGGAUGCGAGCGUUAUCCGGAUUUAUUGGGUUUAAAGGGUGCGUAGGCGGAUUUUUAAGUCAGCGGUAAAAUGUCCGGGCUCAACCCGGGCCAGCCGUUGAAACUGGGGAUCUUGAGUGGGCGAGAAGUAUGCGGAAUGCGUGGUGUAGCGGUGAAAUGCAUAGAUAUCACGCAGAACUCCGAUUGCGAAGGCAGCAUACCGGCGCCCGACUGACGCUGAGGCACGAAAGCGUGGGGAUCGAACAGG